AAUCCCCUCAAGGGAAGAGGCUCUCUUCCAUAUCUUUGUAUCCCUAUCUCCUAGCUAACUGCCUGACAGGUAAUGGAUGCUUAAUAAAUAUUUGUUGAAAGAAUUAAUAGACUAUUCUUCAUUUGCAAGGCCCUAGGCUUAAAUCUGUGGGGCUAUGAUUAUUACUUUCUUUAACACUGUCUACCAGGUGCAGGUGGCUAGAGGCCAGGGUUUUCCCUCGGUGUUUAAUCCCUCUUUGCCCUGUGUUUGUUCCUCUCUCCUUCCCUUGUCCCUGUUGCCUGGGUCUACACACAAACACAGGACCCAUGUCACAACAGAGGAAUGCCAUCAGAAACUCCUUAAAUGGUGCUUCACGCUCUCAGUUAAAGGGACGGCCACAGCAGGUUUUUACUUGACUCUAGUAAAUAUUCUGUCUGUACAUUAUAGGUGAUAAUCUAAACAAGCUAUUUUCCAUUCCUUAGUCUCAGUUAAAAGGAACAGAGUCUUAGCUAAGCUUCUGGCAUUUUUUUUUAAAAUCAGCUACUCAGGAUGUCUCAGCUGUUUCUAAUUUUAGGCUAUUAUUUUCCCAAUACAACAUCAGUUCUGGAAUGAUAAAGCGCUUAUUUAUGCCUGUUUCUGGUCAGGACUUUCAGAAUAGCCUUCCUAUUGAGGCAAAUAUUUGCUCGUAUUUUCUUUUUUAAAAGAGUUAUUAUAUUUUAAAGUGUGGGUGUGUGUGCGAGGGGGGCAUAUGCAUGCGAGUGCAGGUCAGAAGAAGACAUCGAGUUCCGGUAUGAUCUGAGCUUGGCCCCUCUGUAAGAGCAGGAUGUGUUCGCUCUUAAGUGCUGAGCUGUCUCUCCUCAUCUCAGCACCUCCUUCUCAGCGUCUGACCAGAGUCCAUGUAACAUUCCGGCCUUUCUCCGUCACAGUUUUGCUCCACCGAGUAUUAGGAACUUCUUUUGGGGGUGAUACAAAGCAGAUGAAUCAGAGCAGAGGAAGACAGACGGUCUCUAUCUGGUAGAGGAACAGUUCUUUUCUGGUAGAACUCCGCCGUGCUAAAGAGGAAAGCGAAAGCAUCCAGCACACAGUGUUUCUCAGAGAAUUGAUUAUGUGGCUUUCAUGGAGUUCUGUGUGGAGAAAUAAAACACACUUCGGCUGGGGGAGCUUCUCAGUAACCAGAUUUCUGUGUGACCAGAAGCCUUGCUCUCCUGCCACCACAGCUAUGGCCACUCUUACUGUCACAGCUUUCCAGUCAUGAUGAACAGGACUAUCAGAUGGUAUGACCCCCUUCCUUGUGACCUCUUCCUCAAGAAGAAGAAGGGGGAGAAGGGCAAGAGGAGGAGAAAGUGGAGAAGGCAAAACAACACCAACAACAACUACAACAACAACUUAAAUUUGUCUUCCCAUAUACUCUCUGGAUCCUGGUCAUACUCUCAGUGGCCAGCUCCUUAAAGAAAACUGAGUCCUUCUCCAUCCACAGCCCUGCCAGAGGUUAUCAACUGUGAAAGGCUACACUUUAGCAUUUUUAUCAUAAUUCAGAGCACUGCUGGUUUUGCCUCCAUGACAGAGGAUGCACCUAAUCCUGGGGAGACUUGAGGGCCCAGGGAAGGCAGAAGUGUCCUCUCAGAAGAAAGGGGGAGGGAGAAUGGGAUGAGGAACUGUUGAGGGGGGGACUGAGAGGGAAGCAACAUCUGGAAUGUAUAUAAAUAAAAUAAAUUUUAAAUAGAGUUCCCUUCAA